GACGUAGGUGGCGAACGUUAUCCGGAAUUAUUGGGCGUAAAGGGCGCGUAGGCGGUGCGGUAAGUCUGUAGUGAAAUCUCUGGGCUCAACUCAGAGUCUGCUGCAGAAACCUGCCCGUGCUUGAGUGUGGGAGAGGCGAGUGGAAUUCCUGGUGUAGCGGUGAAAUGCGCAGAUAUCAGGAGGAACACCAAUGGCGAAGGCAGCUCGCUGGGACGGUACUGACGCUGAGGCGCGAAAGCGUGGGGGAGCAAACAGG
rnacentral:rRNA from 1 species